GCCCAGGUAGCUCAGUCGGUAGAGCAGAGGACUGAAAAUCCUCGUGUCGGCAGUUCGAUUCUGUCCCUGGGCACCA
rnacentral:tRNA from 19 species